UACGUAGGGGGCAAGCGUUGUCCGGAAUUAUUGGGCGUAAAGAGCGCGUAGGCGGUCCGGUAAGUCGGUUGUGAAAGUCGGGGGCUCAACCCUCGGAUGCCGGUGGAUACUGUCGGGCUAGAGUGCGGGAGAGGCGAGUGGAAUUCCUGGUGUAGCGGUGAAAUGCGCAGAUAUCAGGAGGAACACCAAUUGCGAAGGCAGCUCGCUGGAACGUUACUGACGCUGAGACGCGAAAGCGUGGGGAGCAAACAGG
rnacentral:rRNA from 1 species